AACAUUUUUGGAACAAUUUUACUUCAUACAAAAUUAAAAAUACACUACUUGUAUAACAGACUUUGAAACGUAAUCUUCGCAAAAUAAGAACGAACAUUAUAUCAUGUUUUGUCUUUUGACUGAGGAGAACAUUUGAAAUGAAAAAAAUUACGCCAAAAUGUGCCUUUUUAAAACUAAAAUGAAACGUUUUAGAAUAUUGUUCCUACAAAUUGUAGUGCGACAAAAUUUCCAACUAGAAAAGUAAAACGAACACUUUUAAAACAAAAAUGAAAAUUUCGUUUCAGUUAAAUAAACAUGAGAGUGGUUUAAAACGAAAACGUUUAGUAUUAGACUUUUCAAAGCAACUUAUAAAACUGAAAUACUUUUCAUCUGUUUGCAUUAUUUAUCGGAAAAAUUUUGUGCAGAUGAUUCAAGCUACAUUCAUACAUACAUAGCAAAAGAUGCGGAAAUAUGAUAUCGUUACGCCACUUAAUGAAAGGAACGUUGCUGAUACGAUACCCAUUUUUGAUUAGAGAAAAGCUUUGGAUCUAACCAGCGUUAAUCAAAAUUAUCAAGGCCCGUGGAGGAAAAGCCAGAAUAUGUACAUAUCUUUCAGUUAUUAAGCUUUGUAACUAAUUAAUACAUAUGUAAGUAUGUCUACAUAUGUACAUAUAUCAAUAAAUGUAUGACAAUGUAUAGUUUUAAAUAUCGAA